rnacentral:rRNA from 1 species
CAAAUUUAAAAUCUACCUGGUUUYCAGGUCGAGUUGUAAUUUGAAGAUACGUUUUUGACGUUCCGGGUUGAACUAAAUCCUUUGGGAUAAGGUAUCAUGGAGGGUGAGAAUCCCGUAUAUACCAACCAUAGGGAUGUUAUUUAAUACGUUUCUAAGAGUCGAGUUGUUUGGGAAUGCAGCUCUAAAUGGGUGGUAAAUUUCACCUAAUGCUAAAUAUAAGCGAGAGACCGAUAGYGAACAAGUACAGUGAUGGAAAGAUGAAAAGAACUUUGAAAAGAGAGUUAAAUAGUACGUGAAAUUGUUGAAAGGGAAACGAUUGAAGUCAGUCAUGCCRGUGGGAAUCAACUUAGAGGAAACUCUGAGUGCACUUCUUCGCUUGGCAGGUCAACGUCGAUUUUGGAUGUCAUAAAAUGAUUGGGGGAAGGUAGCUCCUUCGGGAGUGUUAUAGCCCUUGGUAGAUGUGAUGUCUGGGAUCGAGGAUUGCAAUGGAUACCCUUUGGGGCUAGCCGCCUGAUCUCUAAUCGGUAUUGGGUUACGGAUAGCAUGCUGACCGUGAUCUAAUUAUUGGUUAAAAGGUUAG